UGAAGUUCGUGGAAAUCAGUGAAUUUCGUGAAAAAAGGACAAUAUAAAAUAAAAAAUAAGCCGAGUGUUUGGCUAAAAAAAACGCUAAAAUAGCACAUAAGACCCAAUAGACAUUGAAAAAGCUAAAAAGCAAUUUGUGAAACGUACAACUAAGCAAGAAAAGCGAUAAAUUGAAUAAAAUUCUUUAUGUCUGAGCGAAUGAAAGGACAAGGAAAUCAAGGUAAUAACAAUGGGUCGAGUAACUUACAGUAUCCAUUUAGUGUAAAAGUUGGUCAAUGGUCGAAUAAUCAUGCAGGUUCCAAUUCCUCUUCCGUGUCCUAUAACCAAAAAGAUAGAUCGUUCAACAAUCAUCGCGCUGAUGGAAACAAUGGAAAUUACAAUGCCUGGGGUGGAUCACAACAAGUGAACAGCAAUCAGUAUCAUUCGCGUGGAGGAAAGCAGGGACACAAUUACGAUGAUUACAAUAGUUACAGCAAAGGAGGCGGCGGCUACGAUGGCGGCGUAAGAGACAUUGAACGCGGAAUCUCGAGUCUCAAUCGACCCUUUAACGACAGAAAUGCCUCGUCGGGCACCAAUUCUCACAGCAACUCGCGCCAACAGGACCAAGCACAGAAGGAUGCCGCCCGCAAGAUGACAUGGGCUUCGAUUGCGUCGCAGCCGCCCAAACCGACUGUGAGCACAACGAGCUCGUUAGGCAUUAAGAAGAAACCCGGAAUGCCGCCUCCGCCAAUGGUGCCUGGAAGACAUAACAUGGAUAUCGGAACGUGGGAUUCGCCCGCAAAAUCUGGCGCGCCGCUCGUUCCUCCCCCAAUUAUUCAAGCGGCGCCCCCCAAAACGGAUUUUCCCGCGGCAAACGACUCGCAUGCCAACGGAAGUCGCGCAAACGGGCAAAAUCCGGCAUGGCCGACACCCGAUCAAGCUGUCGAAGCAGCUUCGCAGCAAGUUCAGCAACAAAAUCAGCAAAAUCAACAACAAAACCAAUAUUCGGGACGCGAAAAUGCGACACGUGACACCAAUCGGGACAAUUAUCGCGGCGGCAACAACGACGAUCGUCAACGGGAGCGAUAUCAAAAUAGCGGAGGUUAUGCUCAACGCGGAGAAGGGCGUUACAAUAAUCAUCAACCGUCCUCGCAUCAUGCGAAUAACCAUUCGUCAAUGAAUCAAAACUAUCAAAAUAACGCACGUUAUCCGCGUUACGACGACUAUUCGUCGCAAAAUUACAAUUCGGCGCAAGAAUCACGUCCCCCAAUGACGCGUGCCGCUCCUCCGGCGUCAUCUCAACAAAAUUCCGCAGCUGCAACUGACGCCGCUCCCGUCACUCUUGACACCCUGCUUGACAUGUCGAAGUACAAUCCGGCGCAUUUCGAGAUCGAAAACAUCGAAGUUGCCCGUUUCUUCGUCAUCAAGUCGUAUUCCGAGGACGACAUUCAUCGCAGCAUCAAAUACAACAUUUGGUGUUCGACGGAGCACGGCAACAAGCGUUUGGAUCAGGCGUUUCAUGAACGCGAAAAGGAAGGCGGUGCCGUUUAUCUCUUCUACUCCGUCAACGGGAGCGGGCAUUUUUGCGGCAUGGCUCAGAUGAUUUCGAGCGUCGAUUAUUCCUCGAAUUCGAGCGUUUGGGCGCAAAACAAAUGGAAAGGUUCGUUCAAGGUACGUUGGAUUUACGUAAAAGACGUCCCCAAUCCUCAGUUGCGUGCGAUUCGCUUGGAAAAUAACGAAAAUAAACCCGUUACGAAUUCCCGCGAUACGCAAGAAGUCCCCAAUGCGAAGGGAGAACAAGUUUGGCGCAUCAUUCAUUCUUACAAACAUUCGACUUCGUUGUUCGAUGACUUUGUUCAUUACGAGCAACGUCAACGGGAGGAAGAUUCGCGUCGCGUCGAUGGCGGACCCGGAUCAUCGGGCGCAAGAACUCCUCCUCCGCCGCAUCAAUAUCGCAGCGGGGGAUAUCAAGAGUCGAAUAACAAUCCGCGUGAUAGUUUCAAUGGAAGCGGAGGGCGAAACUAUAAUAAUGAUAGAGGCAACUCAGGCUUCGAUCGCAACUAUCACGGAAACGGCGGAGGAUACGAAAACAAAUCCGCUGGAGGAGGCUACAAUCGUAACAAUUACGGUUAUCGCCGUGACGAAAACUCUGAUCGCGAUCGCGAAGGCGGAUACUCAUCUGGAGGAUAUUCUCGCGGAGGAUAUCGCAACAAUCGCGGAGGUUUCAACAAUGACUAUUACAAUCGUCGUCAAGAAGGAAGACAGGAACGCGGAGGCGGCUAUCGUCCUCAAUACAACUCUGUUGAUCCCGAGAACGAGUAAAAAGUGAUUCAUUUAUCGAAAAAGUGAAUAAAAGUGAAAAGUAUUCCAUUAAAAAAAAAUUAAAAAAGUGGAAAUACUGAAAAAAAAAUUAAAAAUAAAAAACAAUUCAAUAUAAAAUAUUCAAAACUAUCUAAAAACUUAUUAAUUAUAAAUAAAAAUAACAUGAACAAAAAAAAAAUUAAAAAAAAAAUAUAAAAAAAUAAACAAUAUUACAUACAAACUUUAGUAUAGUGAUCCAAUUAAACAUAAAAAAAAUACAAAAAAAAACUUUAUGCAACAAAUCAAUGUCAAAACAAACAAAAACAUUUCAUUUUUUACUUUUAAUAUCGUUAAUUUGGCAAACAAAGACAGAAUAUAUGGUGUUCUUACAAAGUACAUGCAAAAAAAUACUAAAAAAAAGUAAUUCAGUGCAACUUUAGUAAAUAAAAAUUAAAAAUAAAUCGUAGUUUUAGUGUGAUUAUAAAAAAAAGUAACAAUUGAAGCGAUCGAUUAAAAGUAUUAAACAGACAAAGUCUAAGAUGUACUCAAUCGUUCAGCUUCUGAUAGUCUGAAUAAAUAAAUAUUUAAACGUAACUUUGAUGAUGAUGC